rnacentral:misc_RNA from 1 species
UGGUUCUGGCAUCGAUGAAGAACGCAGCGAAAUGCGAUAAGUAAUGUGAAUUGCAGAAUUCAGUGAAUCAUCGAAUCUUUGAACGCACAUUGCGCCCUUUGGCAUUCCGAAGGGCAUGCCCGUUCGAGCGUCAUUUAAACCACUCAAGCCUCGCUUGGUAUUGGGCGUCGGGACCCUCCCGCGCCUCUAUUUCGCCGGCCGGCCGUCGAUCGACGUAGCGUUGUGAAAUAUUUCGCUAUAUGUAAUGAGACGUGCGCCGACUGUCAAGUCUAUUUCUCGGGGACGCGCUCGCGCGUUUCGUACCGGUUGACCUCGGAUCGGGUAGGAAUACCCGCUGA